rnacentral:misc_RNA from 1 species
AGAAGUAGUUGGAGCGGCGGUGGUCGUUCAUCGCGAAUUCAGUGGCUACGUAGUGCCGAUCGUCGGCGAGUACGUGUAGGUUAGGAGUGUAUGCGUGUGUGUGGUGUGUGGCGCGUCGCGUCGCGUCGCGUCGCGUCGACGAGAAUCCGUCCGUGGUUCAUGGGCGUGUUCCGUAUCCGAUCCGUCGGUUGAUAAGGGAAGGCAGACUCGGCGAUUCGGUGACUCGUCGCGGCGACGUGACGGACAGAGCCUGGUGUGCGCGGUUGGCUCGCACGUGACGAUAUACGAUGUAAAGGUAAAUUCGCACAUAUUGCAGAGGAGAGGAUCGUCCCUAGCGCACUCGAGCUCGGCCAGGGUGAAUGUCAUUGGGGUGAGAGGCGACAGACUGAGCCCGAGAGAGUGAAGAAGCACUCGUCGUCGUCGUCGUCGAGUUAUCUGCGACGGUGAUUUGCGCGGUUCCACCAGUUCCGAUCGCGGUGUAGCGAGUUGCCCCGCGCGCUCGCCGCAGCCAGAGGAUGUCGAGCGUGCCGCAAAUGUCGAGCAGCGGGCUCAGCAAGCUGAAAAAGAAACACUUUCGGGUGAAGCAUCAGAAGGUUAAGCUGUUCCGCGCGAACGAGCCGUUACUCAGCGUGUUUAUGUGGGGUGUUAAUCAUACGAUAAACGAACUUAGUCACGUUAACAUUCCAGUAAUGCUCUUGCCGGAUGAUUUUAGAGCUUACAGCAAGUUAAAAGUGGAUAAUCAUCUCUUCAACAAAGAGAACAUGCCAUCCCACUUUAAGAUCAAAGAAUAUUGUCCGUUAGUCUUUAGGAAUUUGCGAGAGAGGUUCGGCAUAGACGAUCUGGAUUACAAGGAGUCGAUGACGAGAUGUCGGGCGUUUAAUCCGUCGCGAGCGAAGCAACGCUCGGAUUUGGUGUCCGUCUGCGGAAGGACUCGUCAGUUGGUUCAGCGCUCCGCUACCACCCCGUCGAUCGCCCUUUCCUCUCCUUCUGUCUCCUCGCAAAUUCCGAUUCUAAACAAACCGCUGCGUACCUACGGUUUUAAGCCAAAACGCCUGAGAUCGCAGCCGGUGCUCGACGAUUCAUCUGGAAAGAGCGGCGCGAAGUUCUAUCAGUCCUACGACAAACUGUUCAUUAUCAAGACUCUCACGAGCGAGGAAGUGGAGAGAAUGCAUUCGUUCUUGAAGCAUUAUCACCCUUACAUUGUCGAGCGACACGGAAAGACACUGUUACCGCAGUAUCUAGGCAUGUAUCGAUUAACCGUCGACGGUGUUGAGCAUUACGUGGUCGCCAUAAGGAACGUAUUUUCAAAUCACUUAACUACACACAAGAAAUUUGACUUGAAAGGUUCGACGGUGGAUCGAGAAGCAUCCGACAAGGAGAAGGAGAAAGAUCUUCCUACUUAUAAAGAUAACGAUUUCGUCAAAGAGGGCAUGAAAAUCUAUAUUGGAGAAGAGGCCAAAGCUAAGCUAAUAGAAACCCUAACCGCCGACGUAGAAGUAAUUUCUGACGAGAUUACAUCUGAUGGACUACUCCUUGCUUCUUGGUCUACACGAUUGCGCACGCGCUGAGCAAGAGAGUAGAGAACGUGCGGAAAGAGAGGAGGACGAGGAUAAUCACGAAGAGGAGGAUGAUAGUGAGUCCGGCAGCGGACUGGAGUCCCGAGGCCCAGCGGGAGAUCGUCUGUGGGGUUGGGGCGGUGUCGGUGCAGUCACCAGCAUGGCAACGCCUCCCGAAUCGCCGCACGCUGCGUUGAUGCGUGACACCAGUUUACAAUACGAAGACGCGAUCAUACCCGAACUAGACAUAUACGCUAUUCCUAGUAAAGAAG